UACGUAGGGUGCAAGCGUUGUCCGGAAUUAUUGGGCGUAAAGAGCUCGUAGGCGGUCUGUCACGUCGGAUGUGAAAACUCGGGGCUCAACCCCGAGCCUGCAUUCGAUACGGGCAGACUUGAGUUCGGCAGGGGAGACUGGAAUUCCUGGUGUAGCGGUGAAAUGCGCAGAUAUCAGGAGGAACACCAAUGGCGAAGGCAGCUCGCUGGGACGGUACUGACGCUGAGGCGCGAAAGCGUGGGGAGCAAACAGG
rnacentral:rRNA from 1 species